rnacentral:rRNA from 1 species
UACGAAGGGGGCUAGCGUUGCUCGGAAUCACUGGGCGUAAAGCGCACGUAGGCGGCUUUUUAAGUCAGGGGUGAAAUCCUGGAGCUCAACUCCAGAACUGCCUUUGAUACUGAGAAGCUCGAGUCCGGGAGAGGUGAGUGGAACUCCGAGUGUAGAGGUGAAAUUCGUAGAUAUUCGGAAGAACACCAGUGGCGAAGGCGGCUCACUGGCCCGGUACUGACGCUGAAAUACGAAAGCGUGGGGAGCAAACAGG